CCAAUAGCGUAUAUUAAAGUUGCUGCAGUUAAAAAGCUCGUAGUUGAAUUUCGGGAUCAAUAUGUUGGUCGUGCCUUGGUACGUACUAGCUCAUUGGUUUCUCCCUUCUGACGAACCAUGAUGUCAUUAAUUUGAUGUCAUGGGGAAUCAGGACUGUUACUUUGAAAAAAUUAGAGUGUUUAAAGCAGGCUCGCGCUUGAAUACAUUAGCAUGGCAUAAUGAAAUAGGACAUUUGAUUCUAUUUUGUUGGUUUCUAGGAUCGAUGUAAUGAUUAAUAGGGAUAGUUUGGGGCAGUAGUAUGCAAUUGUCAGAGGUGAAAUUCUUGGAUUUAUUGAAGACUAACUACUGCGAAAGCAUUUGCCAAGGAUGUUUUCAUUAAUCAAGAACGAAAGUUAGGGGAUCGAAGACGAUCAGAUACCGUCGUAGUCUUAACCAUAAACUAUGCCGACUAGGGAUCGGAUGAUGUUAAUUUUUUAAUGACUCAUUCGGCGCCUUACGGGAAACCAAAGUUGUUUGGGUUC
rnacentral:rRNA from 1 species